CCAGUAGCUGCUGUUUAACAUCCUCCUGAGUUAUUGGACUAGAAAAUACUUCAUCAUUGGAUAUGAACUAAUCAUCUAUUUUUCCCCAGAUAGAGAGCAGAAAUAUUUAUUGCACUUUUCUGCCUUUUCUGCAUUAUUAUUGACAGUUCUACCAUUUCCAGCUAGUAAUGAACCAAUACUAUUAUUAGUUUUUAUUGUUCCUAAUAAAUUUCCUUCUUAUCCUAAAUUCUGCUAGCCAUAAAUUUUUUUCUUGUCUGUUUCCCUUAUCAGUUGUCUACAAGUAAAUGAGCACUUACGAAGGUGAGGAGUCUGAAUACUUCUGCAUGUUAAUUUUUUGUAUCCCGGAAGCCUUCUGGACUGGGAUCAUGCCUCUCUUCUUGCACAACACCAAGUGCAAUGUGGGUAGUGUUGGACACACAUUGUGGAUGCUUCUUUUUGAUGGCAAGAAAUGUAACUUGAGGUUGCUCUGGUAGUUAAUAGUGCCUUAAUUUAAGUUUUGAUUAUUAGCAUUUAAAAGGGAAUACACUUUAGCAGCUUUAAGUCUAAGUUAAUGACAUUUUCUGUGUGGGUUAUAGAGUUCAACCAGAUGCAAAUUACCUCUGACAAGUAGUUGCCACAGAAAUAAAUGCGUGUCAACAGGUAUAAACUAAUAAGAAAACAAACCAUGGGGAGGAAAAACUUGCACAUGCAAAAUACAGCUGGAGGUGUGUUUAUUUUUGAAUUAAUCAGUGAGUUUUUCAUAAGGCAAAUUGGGAUUUGAUGUAGGUGCAGUUUAGCUUUUUAUCUAUACCCUCUCUAAUUUUUAAAAAUCCUUUUUAAAAUGUGCACACCAGAAUUGGACACAGUUUCCAGUAUCUGUCUCACCAUCACCGGAUGCAGAGGUGAAAUCACCUCCAUGCUCUUUAGCCAUUGCAGCACGCUGGGAGAUCACCUCCCUAAAUUCCUCUUGUGUGGUUUCAGAAUUCCAUCUCAACCAGCCCAUCCAUUUUCCAUUCUUAUCUCCCAAACCUCAAAGCGACAAAGUAGACCCUAAAGAUGUCAAAAGGGCAUUGAGUUAGCUCAAAAACUUGGGGACUUGUUCUUUGUUUAGGGAUGUAUAUUCAUCCCUAUUGUGACCGACCAGGGGUUUCAGAAGGAGAUGGUCAGAUUAUUAUUUGUAUUGCAGUAAUGCCUAGGAGCCCCAGUCAUGAACCAUGGACCCGUUGUGCUAGGUGCUGUGUGAAUAUGUAACAGAUGGCUCCUGCUCCAAAGAACUUGGUCUGUGUAGAAGGCAACAGAGAGAGGGUGGCUAGUAGAAAGACAGUGGAGGGGAGCUCAAGGAAAUGAUGAGACAACAAAGGUGAGCAUGAAAGGCACAUUAGCUGCCUAUGUGUUAACAUUCUUAUCGGCACCCUAACAAAGGAGGACAAGGAUGUGGCUUGUCAGAUGUAAGCAGCUUCCUGAUAUGCUUGGAAGACGAGCAGUAAAACCUCAGAUUUACGAACACCAGAGUUAUGAACUGAUGGGUCUGCCACACAUCUCAUUUGGAACCAGAAGUAAGCAAUUGGGUAGCAACAGAGACCACACACACACA